ensembl:lncRNA
GUCUUUUAUUCCUAUAAAAUUGCAGAGUUCUGCAUGUUUGGAAUUUGGUGUGACAUUUUGAUUGAUAAUGUUUAAAUGUCACACUGGAUUUAGAGCCAUUUCUAACAUCUGAGCAGAUGGGAGCUGGGAUAAUAACUCGGAGAUGAAAUAUAUAUAUAAUUGUGACGCUCGGCGGUCAUUAAGACCUACUCAUUAUGUACUUUCUCUUGAGUUUUUAUUACUUUUAUUACUUUUCUUUCCUCUCUUUCUCUCACAUAGCAGAAAAGAGCAGACAAUUUGAGCCAAUCUGCAUCCGAUUCAUGAAAACUGCAAAAGCAGUGCUUAAUCUGUGUGAAAACAAGCCCCGCCCACUCAUCCCUAUUUAUCCCUAUCGUAAAUGCAUCCAACACACCACAAUGUACCCCAAAUGCAUCUCAUUUACAUGCAGCAUGCCCUGAUUUAUCAGGUAUUGUGAUAAUGAGGCAAUAAAAAGGACAACGAAGAGAGAUGGCAGAUAUCUGACAUCCAAGAAAAAUCUCUUUCUACCUUCUACUCGUCUUUUAUAUAACUUCCUUUUGACUUUUUUUUUUUCUUUCCUUCUUUUUUUCUUUCUUUGGGUUUGCUUCUUUUUUGUCACUGAUGUUCUUUCUCUCUUUUCUACAUUUCUCUAUCUCUACCAAACUUUCACACACUCCAAUUUAAUUCGGUCUUAGACUCAGCACACUCCCAAAUCCAGUUCAUUCUCACACUCAUGUUUGAUUCACUUUCACAUUCAGUUCACUCUCAUUCAGUUCACUCUCCCAUUCAAUUCACUCUCAGACUUGAUUCACUCUUAUAUUCAAUUCACUCUCAGACUUGAUUCACUCUUAUAUUCAAUUCACUCUCAGACUUGAUUCACUCUUAUAUUCAAUUCACUCUCCCAUUCAGUCCAGUCUCAGACAUGAUUCAGUCUCAGACUUGAUUCACUCUUAUAUUCAAUUCACUCUCCCAUUCAGUCCAGUCUCAGACUUGAUUCACUCUUAUAUUCAAUUCACUCUCCCAUUCAGUCCAGUCUCAGACAUCAUUCACUCUCAGACAUGAUUCACUCUCAGACUUGAUUCACUCCCAGACUUGAUUCAUGCUCAGAUUUGACUCCCUCUCAAACUUGGUUCACUCUCCCCUUCUAUUCACUCUCAGACUUGAUUCACUCUGCCAUUCAAGUUACUCCAAAAUUCCAUUUUAGAUUCCAUUUGAGGUUUAUGUGCUUGCCUCAGUCCAU